GAGUACGGCCGCAAGGUUAAAACUCAAAUGAAUUGACGGGGGCCCGCACAAGCGGUGGAGCAUGUGGUUUAAUUCGAUGCAACGCGAAGAACCUUACCUACUCUUGACAUCCAGAGAACUUUCCAGAGAUGGAUUGGUGCCUUCGGGAACUCUGAGACAGGUGCUGCAUGGCUGUCGUCAGCUCGUGUUGUGAAAUGUUGGGUUAAGUCCCGCAACGAGCGCAACCCUUAUCCUUUGUUGCCAGCGGUCCGGCCGGGAACUCAAAGGAGACUGCCAGUGAUAAACUGGAGGAAGGUGGGGAUGACGUCAAGUCAUCAUGGCCCUUACGAGUAGGGCUACACACGUGCUACAAUGGCGCAUACAAAGAGAAGCGACCUCGCGAGAGCAAGCGGACCUCAUAAAGUGCGUCGUAGUCCGGAUUGGAGUCUGCAACUCGACUCCAUGAAGUCGGAAUCGCUAGUAAUCGUAGAUCAGAAUGCUACGGUGAAUACGUUCCCGGGCCUUGUACACACCGCCCGUCACACCAUGGGAGUGGGUUGCAAAAGAAGUAGGUAGCUUAACCUUCGGGAGGGCGCUUACCACUUUUUGAUUAAGAUG
rnacentral:rRNA from 1 species